UACAGAGACGGCGAGCGUUACUCGGAUUUACUGGGCGUAAAGGGUGCGUAGGUGGCCAGGUGUGUCGGGUGUGAAAUCCCGGAGCUUAACUCCGGAACUGCGCUCGAAACUACUUGGCUAGAGGCUCGGAGAGGGUAGUGGAAUUCCUGGUGUAGCGGUGAAAUGCGUAGAUAUCAGGAGGAAUACCAAUGGCGAAGGCAGCUACCUGGAAGAGUUCUGACACUGAGGCACGAAAGCGUGGGGAGCAAAAGGG
rnacentral:rRNA from 1 species